UUGGAGUGGGACGAGCUAUUGCAGAAUCCAUUUCUUGCCUUUUACCAGAGAUGGCCGUGGCUACGCCCAAAAUACUCCAUUUCUCAAUCUUUGGACUCAACUUUCCUGUGUAAU
rnacentral:snRNA from 1 species